CGGAGGGUGCAAGCGUUAUCCGGAUUUAUUGGGUUUAAAGGGUGCGUAGGCGGUAUUUUAAGUCAGUGGUGAAAUGUUGCAGCUUAACUGUAGAAUUGCCAUUGAAACUGAAGUACUUGAGUUAUCUUGAGGUAGGCGGAAUGUGUAGUGUAGCGGUGAAAUGCUUAGAUAUUACACAGAACACCGAUUGCGAAGGCAGCUUACUAAGGAUAAACUGACGCUCAGGCACGAAAGCGUGGGGAUCGAACAGGAUUAGAUACCCUGGUAGUCCACGCCGUAAACGAUGAUGACUCGCUGUUGGCGAUACACAGUCAGCGGCUCAGCGAAAGCGUUAAGUCAUCCACCUGGGGAGUACGCUCGCAAGAGUG
rnacentral:rRNA from 1 species